rnacentral:rRNA from 1 species
GUGCCAGCCGCCGCGGUAAUACGGGGGGGGCAAGCGUUGUUCGGAAUUACUGGGCGUAAAGGGCUCGUAGGCGGCCGACUAAGUCAGACGUGAAAUCCCUCGGCUUAACCGGGGAACUGCGUCUGAUACUGGACGGCUUGAGUUUGGGAGAGGGAUGCGGAAUUCCAGGUGUAGCGGUGAAAUGCGUAGAUAUCUGGAGGAACACCGGUGGCGAAGGCGGCAUCCUGGACCAACACUGACGCUGAUGAGCGAAAGCCAGGGGAGCAAACGGGAUUAGAUACCCUGGUAGUCC